GGGGUGAUCUCCGUGAGGGCAGCGGGGCGGGGGCGAGAGAAUAAGCCGGGCCCGCGGGGCCUCCGCUCGUCACCUGCGCCGGAGGCUUACAACACCGAAACUUUGGUUACAACACUGAACACUUUCCUGUUCGGGAGCAGGCCAGGACAGGGCUGUUAAACCCUGAGUGUUUUGUUGCCGUGAAAAACACAAGGAAGUUCAUCCGUUCUGUGUUUAAUGUGCCAAAGACUAUGCUUCAAAGGACAGCAAUAUUAGCUGGACCAUGUACUUCCCUUGCUGUUAAUGCAGCUGAACUGAGCCGUGUGCUGCAUGGUGAGGAACUUGAGCAAAAAACUAAGCUUUCCACUGAAUGUGAAAGAAUCCUGUUCGGCCAGUCCUGCAGGCAUAGCCACAGGGCAGAGCUACUUCUCCAAGCAUCAUGAACUGAGAGGCAAGGUCACCAAUGAGGGCACAGCCAAGGACAGGGCCAGGUGGCAAUAGCAAUGAGCUUUGCCAUACACCAAUGACCAUCACCCAAGUCUGAGAUGUCAAAUCAAGUCCAGGAUCCAUUCAGGAAGUCUUAUCAGGAUGAGGCAGGAGGCAAUACUGAAGACAUGUAUGACCUGUGUGCAGACCUACAUCUGUGGUGUAGGUCUGAGGCUCAUCCAAGGAAGGAUCAUCCAAGACAGACGGAAUUUAGUUAACGUUUCUCAUCUCCACAGAGAAGCACAAAUGCCAGCUAAUGUAAUUUUCCCCCCUACAGGUUAGAGGAAUAAAAGAAAGAGAUGGUAGAAGAUGUUCA
rnacentral:lncRNA from 1 species